rnacentral:misc_RNA from 1 species
CAUAAAUGGGUUUUGUACUAGUUGUUGAAUUAUCUUUGUUCAAUUUUGAUGUUUAUCAUUUUACCCUCCUUUCCAAUUUGUGUUUUUAAUGCUGUUUUAGAUUAUGGAUUCUCUUUAUUGCUUCUGUUUCUGGUUAGCAUGUAUUUUUUGUAAAGUUAUAAUACUUUACUUUUUUGGGAAAAAAGGAGAGUGGUUCAUACUAUAUUUUGUACUGGUUGUUAGUGCAUUGUUUAACAAAAUUAGCAUGUAUCAUAAAGAAUUCCAGGAGAAUAUCAGAGCGGUUGAGUGAAUUUGGUAGAUGUUCCCUUUGUAGCUAGUAUGGAAGUUGUGUUGAGCCAUCCCUAUCUGCCUAGAUUUACUUGUUUUGGACUGUUAUAUUAAAUUUGACUUUGUUGUCCCUAACUUUUCUUGAGCCUACAAGUGUGCAUGCCAUGGGUUGCAAUUAUCGUCAAUUUCAGUCAGUAAUCAUUUCUGAAUAUCUCUGUGAUGCUGUAAUAAUGCCAUUGUGGUGUAACAAUCAGUUUGUUUCUCUGAACUUUCAUAAUGCUCCGUAAGCAUCAUAUAUGUCCAUGCAGUUGUACCAUCAACAUUUUAUUUGCUGAAUAAGGAAAAUUACUAUUUUUUCUACCAAUUAUAAUCAUCAUGGUUUGGAUAUAAAGUUUUUUGAAAAGGUCAUGGACUAAUGCUAAAUUUGUAGUUUGCUGAUAUUUAUAUUGCAAUUGGCUGUUUGAAGGCAUCAUGCUUCUGAACUUGGAUGGAUGUUCGUUCAUUGAUCAAAUUUUCUUUUCUAAUAUUAUCUAGUGAUAUUCUUAAUGUAAAUGUUUAUUUGUUUAGUUUUAUGAAUGUGGAUUCUGUUUGUGGUGUCAGAUUGAUGAGAAUGUGCAGAGAG